UGUAAUUUUUUACUAUCUAUAUAUAUUAAAGAGUAAAAUUGAUUUAAUUUUUUGUAGAUAAAAUAAAUUAAAAUUGAAGCUAAAAAAUUUUAGUUAUAAACUAGGAUUAGAUACCCUAUUAUUCUAAAAUAAUAAAUUUCCUUAGUUAGUAGUAGAUAUUUACUUAAAAUCUAAAAAAUUUGGCGGUAAUUUAAUCUUUUCAGAGGAACUUGUUUUUUAAUCGAUAAUCCGCGAAGUAUCUUACUUAUUAUAGUAAUAGUUUGUAUACCAUCAUUAUCAGGUAAUUUUUAAAAAAUAAAUUACUGGGAUUAAAAUAGUUUAACAAAAUUAGAUCAUGGUGCAGCUUAUAAAUAAGUUAAAAUGAGUUACAAUAAAUUAUUUUAUAUGGAUAAAUAAAAGAAUUUUGUUUAGAAGGAGGAUUUGAUUGUAUUUUAAGUUUAAUAUGCUUAAAAGAUGGUAGCUCUAAAUUAUGUACAUAUCGCCCGUCGCUUUCAUUUAUGGAU
rnacentral:rRNA from 1 species